UAGCUGGAUUGGGGCGUUUCGAGAGCAGCAACUGACUCUGAAUGCAAUGUAGAUUUAUGGAAAUCGAGGUCAAGGGAGGGCCUCAAUCUACAGUAUCUCACAAAAGUGAAUACACCCCUCACAUUUCAGGAACCAUUUUAGUACAUCUUCUUAAGUGAAGAGGGGGUAUGCCAACCUUCCCUCCCAGACAGCAUGGCUGAUUUUGCUCUCUAGGCUUUUACAUCCAUGAUAUCUUACUGAUGGCUGUGGGAUCAUCAGGCGACUCUUAAUCAGGCAAAGAAAAGCUCCUCAGGCAUUGCUCAUCCCUGAGCUUUCUUAAGAGCCUCUAUGUACAGUUGAAGCUGUGAGGCUGCUAUCGCUCCAGGCUGUGUGGCAUCCACUUAGGCGUCGACAGCUCCAGAUAAAGCUGAGCUCCAGGGGACGUGCCACAGGCUUGAUCUGACGGGAAUGCAACAGCUCAGGGCCGAAGGACAAGCAUCAGAGUGUGUCAUGCUGUCUCAGAUCCAUCACUCGCUAUUGAGGAUAAUGAGCAAGGCGUGGAGGUGAACACAUUACAGAGGCCUGACCUUGCCCAGAGAGAGAGUGAGAGAGCAGGAGAGCGAGAGCAGUGAACGAGAGCUGAGGUUUAGAGGCCGCAUAGCCUAGAGGAAUCCAGAAGUUGCUUACCUGUAGACAACAAAGUGCAUGCAAGAAACACACUGUAAAUGUAUGUAAUCUGAAGUUAAGCACAGAAAGAUGGAGAGCAGGUGCCAUGUGUCCAGUGGAGGUUUGACUCUCACAGGGAGGCCAGCUGCUGCGUUUGGCCUUUCGGCUUGCAGCAUCCCCUCCACCACUGGCACCAUCAUCACUCUGCCAUCUCCCCUUAUCCUCCCCCCACCUUUGGAAGAUUGAAGGAAAGGCAGGAGAGUCGUGCUAGAAGGAAAGAGCGAGAAGGAGAGGGUGUUAAACAGGGGAAAAAGUGGGACAAGGAAAACUUCGUCGGGCUCUUUCUGUCAGAGAGAAAGACGGAGAGAAGGAAAGAGCGAGAGAGUAAGCAGCUGAAUGAUGUGGGUGUGAUUAGAGACAAAACGAUACACGGAUUUUGCUAGGCAAGUGGGCUUAUGGAGGACAGAGAAGGAAAA